GAUGAACGCUAGCGGCAGGCUUAAUACAUGCAAGUCGAGGGGUAGCAAGAUUGUAGCAAUACAAUUGUUGACGACCGGCAAACGGGUGCGGAACACGUACACAACCUUCCUACAAGUGGGGAAUAGCCCAGAGAAAUUUGGAUUAAUACCCCGUAACAUAGCGAUGUGGCAUCACAUUGCUAUUAUAGCUUCGGCGCUUGUUGAUGGGUGUGCGGCUGAUUAGAUAGUUGGCGGGGUAACGGCCCACCAAGUCUACGAUCAGUAGCUGAUGUGAGAGCAUGAUCAGCCAAACGGGCACUGAGACACGGGCCCGACUCCUACGGCAGGCAGCAGUAAGGAAUAUUGGACAAUGGACGCAAGUCUGAUCCAGCCAUGCCGCGUGAAGGAUUAAGGUCCUCUGGAUUGUAAACUUCUUUUAUAAGGGACGAAAAAAGGUCUUUCUAGAUCGUCUGACGGUACCUUAUGAGUAAGCACCGGCUAACUCCGUGCCAGCCGCCGCAGUAAAAC
rnacentral:rRNA from 1 species